rnacentral:lncRNA from 10 species
GAACUCCUGAGGGAGAGAGUUUCAGGGAAGCUGUCUCAGCGGAUUCCAGGUUCCAGCUGUAUUUCUAAAGAUUUGUGGGACUCUGCCCUGGGGAGAAGAGCAGAGGGAAACACGAAGGCCAAAACAGCAAAGGCCAGGGAGGCAAGGCCAGCCAGCAGUGGGGCUGGGUGCCCAGUGCUCCUGGGUGAGUGGAGGGAGACAAGGCCUGCUGACCACAAACUGUGAGGGCCUUGACUGUGGGGCCAGACAGAGGGGCUGUCAGCCAGAUGGAGCUCCAGACACCUUAGGCUAGGGAGGGUCUGGACCUGGACAGACUACAGAAAUUGGGCAGCUGGGUGGCCACGAGGUCUUCACAGGUCCAGAGACCCGGAGCUUCUCAGCAAGCUGAAUGAGGCAGCGUCCCAGGGGUCCAGAAGCCCAGCCUCGCCCGGCGCUGGUGAGGAACUGGAAUCCAGGCUUGUACUGAAAGCCUCAGGGAUAGAUUUGGAGGAGGAAGCCCGAGAUGGCGCCUCUCUCCCACCGGCUAGGACCUCAGUUCCCACUUUCCUAGUUACCUCUUCCACCCCCUCACCUCCAGCUGGGAACUUACAUCCCUUCUUUCAUUUAUAGGGCACUUUUAGGCUGGGUGCAGUGGUUCACGCCUGUAAUCCUAGCACUUUGGGAGGCCAAGGCAGGCGGAUUGCUUGAGCUCAGGAGUUCGAGGCCAGUCUGGG